GCUCCACCCAAGAUGAAUGUUCAAAAUCUUCAUGGUUGUCCCCCCCAAAAAACUCCCUUCAGGAAAUGCUGUUUUAUUUUCAGGUUUGGCCAGAGAAAACUUCCAGCAAGAUUACUCUACGUAUUUCCUUGAGUCUGGAGAGCACAGAAAACCCUGACUUCUCGUGCACCUUCACCACUGGAAGUGUAAAACUGUGUGACGGGUCUGAUCUGAGGGCAGUUUUUCCAAACUGCUCCUGCAGUUUUUCUGACCAGCUAAUAUAUACUACAGGUUUAAACAUCUCAGCUGAAGUGGGUCUUGGGGAACAAAAGAUCAAAGAGAAGCUGGAGCUGAAAAACUGCCUGAAUAUCAAAGAUAAUUCACCAGGGGCUUCUUAUACACAGUGUGUUCAGUGUAUCUCAUCUGGGUGUCACUGGUCCUCAUCCUCUCAGCGUUGUGAAUGGGCAGAUGGACCUGGACCAAAGUUAAACAUACAG